rnacentral:rRNA from 1 species
AACGAACGCUGGCGGCAUGCCUAACACAUGCAAGUCGAACGAGACCUUCGGGUCUAGUGGCGCACGGGUGCGUAACGCGUGGGAAUCUGCCCUUGGGUUCGGAAUAACAGUUGGAAACGACUGCUAAUACCGGAUGAUGACGUAAGUCCAAAGAUUUAUCGCCCAGGGAUGAGCCCGCGUAGGAUUAGCUAGUUGGUGGGGUAAAGGCCUACCAAGGCGACGAUCCUUAGCUGGUCUGAGAGGAUGAUCAGCCACACUGGGACUGAGACACGGCCCAGACUCCUACGGGAAGCAGCAGUGGGGAAUAUUGGACAAUGGGCGAAAGCCUGAUCCAGCAAUGCCGCGUGAGUGAUGAAGGUCUUAGGGUUGUAAAGCUCUUUUACCCGGGAUGAUAAUGACAGUACCGGGAGAAUAAGCCCCGGCUAACUCCGUG